AAGAAAGGCAUCCUCCAUUUCCAUAGUUAUUCCUGGGUCUGUCCCUUCAGCUUACCCAGUGAGUCAGGCCCUCUGCAGAUGUUUCAUCCAGAAGUGACUCAAGGGCAGGGCUCAUCCCUCCUUGGAGCUAUAAUUUUCUUCUUGCAGAUGGCACACUUGGUUUCCUGAAACAUCUUGAACAUCUCACACCAUCCUGUUCUUAAGUGAGGAGCAGUGGACUUUAAAAUCCAUGGUCCAUUGAUAUUCACUUUCUGACAAAAGACAAGGCAAGGACCCACCAGCACUCCAGGUCUCACUUCAUGAUGAUGUCAUCCUCAUUGAGGGCUCACAACCUGACCAACUACUGGUUUCACUUCAGUUUUGACAUUUCCCAGAGCUAAAGAGCUAACCUAAGUCCCAAUCACAGGUACAACCACCUUGGGGGGUGGGGGGAAGGGGGAAGACCAGUGUCCCAGGGCCCAUGUUCCAGCCUAGGCCCUUCUUAAGUACUCUGACAUCAACUUCAUAUUCAAUUUAUUGGGCUCUUCAUAGACCCUACAAAGUCCACAGAUUCUUAAGAGAAAUAAUGAGGUCUACAUGCAGAAUAAACUGAGGUUUCAAUAAAAUCAGAGAUUAUAUCUAUUUCUUAUGCUCCUUCUUAUAGCCAUAGGUCUUCUGUCUAAUCUAUGAGUUCACUUGUGAAACAGCCCUCCAGUAUAUAAUGGGGCAACUUAAAAUGUGCAUUGCCCACUUCUCACAUGACUUCACAGAGAGGAUUAUAGUCUGCUGAGUGAGUUGACGUCUUUUUAUUACUCUCCUAAUGUGACAUCCAUGAAUACCUGAUCUAGGCAGUGGUCUUUCACCUCCUGCAACGCUGCUUCCAGGAACACACCAAAAUGAAUAUUUGAGGACUUCAAGGAUAGUAUUUGGAAGACAGUUACUUUCUGGCGAAGGAAUCCAGAAAAUGCCAGAUAAAAGUAUUAACAGUGCUAGAGUAGGGAAUUCUACAAGUGUAUCAUUUUCUACCAGAAGUGGUUAGGAUGCCCCCUCUUGGAAGUACAUCCCCUUCAGUUUUCACGUAUUCUCCAUUUGCUAUUCUUAAACUUCUGGACCAACUCAAACACAUCACUAAUUAUUCAAAGAAUAUUUGCUGUAUCUAUUGUGCCUCCUAUAGAGAAUCCAACUGGUUCAUCUUCAGGAUCACCGCAGAAGUCAGAUCCAACUUACCACACAUUCCUCCAUUUAAAAUACCCUGUCUUUGGAAAGUCAGGCCUCUGCACCAAAGCUAAGCCAUCAUAUCCCCUGUGACCUGCACGUACACAUCCAGAUGGUCGGUUCCUGCCUUAACUGAUGACAUUCCACCACAAAAGAAGUGAAAAUGGGCUGUUCCUGCCUUAACUGAUGAUAUUACCUUGUGAAAUUCCUUUUCCUGGCUCAUCCUGGUUCAAAAGCUCCCCCACUGAGCACCUUGUGACCCCCACCCCUGCCCGCCAGAGAACCCCCUUUGACUGUAAUUUUCCUUUACCUACCCAAAUCCUAUAAAACGGCCCCACCCCAUCUCCCUUCGCUGACUCUCUUUUCCGACUCAGCCCGCCUGCACCCAGGUGAUUAAAAAGCUUUAUUGCUCA
rnacentral:lncRNA from 1 species